rnacentral:rRNA from 1 species
CCUGAGAAACCCGAAAGUUCGAAAGAGGAGAUUCAUCGUCAGCGACCGCUGGCUUUUGUACGUUUCGCGAUGUCGUGGCGACCGGCUCCGGCCUCUCGCUCGAUACGCGUUCGUAUGUUUUUUAGACCCGGUUCGUCGGCGUGCACUUCUCCUCUAGUAGGACGUCGCGACCCGUUGGGUGUCGGUCUACGGCACAGUAGGGUUGCCUGUCGCGUGUCGUGCUACUUCUGCGGCAUUUGUCGCGCGGCAGACCCCCGUUGCCCGGCCAGCUCUCGGCGGUACUCGUACGGUAUCGAGCCGCAUUUGCAUUCGUGCGUUUGCGUCCCCGACCCGUCGCAGGCUAGGCCAGUGUUCUCGAAUGUACGGAUUUAAUGCCGUCUUCGGUCCUGGUCAACCGUUCGCGAAGGUGUUCUCGGACAGGCUCAAUUCAUGAUAUCGGUCGGCGACGCUAUUGCUUCGGGUACUUUCAGGACCCGUCUUGAAACACGGACCAAGGAGUCUAACAUGUGCGCGAGUCAUUGGGAGUAAGAAACCCAAAGGCGAAAUGAAAGUGAAGGUCCGACCUUGCGUCGACCGAGGGAAGAUGGGUCGCGCUCGACGCGACCCCGCAUUCCCGGGGCGUCUCAUUCUCAUUGCGAGAAGAGGCGCACCUAG